rnacentral:rRNA from 1 species
UACGGGAGGCAGCAGUGGGGAAUAUUGCACAAUGGGCGCAAGCCUGAUGCAGCCAUGCCGCGUGUAUGAAGAAGGCCUUCGGGUUGUAAAGUACUUUCAGUCGUGAGGAAGGUGUUAAGGUUAAUAACCUUAGCAAUUGACGUUAGCGACAGAAGAAGCACCGGCUAACUCCGUGCCAGCAGCCGCGGUAAUACGGAGGGUGCGAGCGUUAAUCGGAAUUACUGGGCGUAAAGGGCACGCAGGCGGUUAAUUAAGUUGGAUGUGAAAUCCCCGGGCUUAACCUGGGAAUGGCAUUCAAGACUGGUUAGCUAGAGUCUUGUAGAGGGGGUAGAAUUCCAUGUGUAGCGGUGAAAUGCGUAGAGAUGUGGAGGAGUACCGGUGGCGAAGGCGGCCCCUGGGACAAAGACUGACGCUCAUGUGCGAAAGCGUGGGGAGCAAACAGGGAUUAGAUACC